rnacentral:rRNA from 1 species
GCUUAACACAUGCAAGUCGAGGGGCAGCAUUUCAGUUUGCUUGCAAACUGGAGAUGGCGACCGGCGCACGGGUGAGUAACACGUAUCCAACCUGCCGAUAACUCGGGGAUAGCCUUUCGAAAGAAAGAUUAAUACCCGAUGGCAUAAUUAGACCGCAUGGUCUUAUUAUUAAAGAAUUUCGGUUAUCGAUGGGGAUGCGUUCCAUUAGGCAGUUGGUGAGGUAACGGCUCACCAAACCUUCGAUGGAUAGGGGUUCUGAGAGGAAGGUCCCCCACAUUGGAACUGAGACACGGUCCAAACUCCUACGGGAGGCAGCAGUGAGGAAUAUUGGUCAAUGGGCGCAGGCCUGAACCAGCCAAGUAGCGUGAAGGAUGACUGCCCUAUGGGUUGUAAACUUCUUUUAUAUGGGAAUAAAGUUUUCCACGUGUGGAAUUUUGUAUGUACCAUAUGAAUAAGGAUCGGCUAACUCCGUGCCAGCAGCCGCGGUAAUACGGAGGAUCCGAGCGUUAUCCGGAUUUAUUGGGUUUAAAGGGAGCGUAGGUGGACAGUUAAGUCAGUUGUGAAAGUUUGCGGCUCAACCGUAAAAUUGCAGUUGAUACUGGCUGUCUUGAGUACAGUAGAGGUGGGCGGAAUUCGUGGUGUAGCGGUGAAAUGCUUAGAUAUCACGAAGAACUCCGAUUGCGAAGGCAGCUCACUGGACUGCAACUGACACUGAUGCUCGAAAGUGUGGGUAUCAAACAGGAUUAGAUACCCUGGUAGUCCACACAGUAAACGAUGAAUACUCGCUGUUUGCGAUAUACAGUAAGCGGCCAAGCGAAAGCAUUAAGUAUUCCACCUGGGGAGUACGCCGGCAACGGUGAAACUCAAAGGAAUUGACGGGGGCCCGCACAAGCGGAGGAACAUGUGGUUUAAUUCGAUGAUACGCGAGGAACCUUACCCGGGCUUAAAUUGCAUUUGAAUAAUCUGGAAACAGGUUGGCCGCAAGGCAAAUGUGAAGGUGCUGCAUGGUUGUCGUCAGCUCGUGCCGUGAGGUGUCGGCUUAAGUGCCAUAACGAGCGCAACCCUUAUCUUUAGUUACUAACAGGUCAUGCUGAGGACUCUAGAGAGACUGCCGUCGUAAGAUGUGAGGAAGGUGGGGAUGACGUCAAAUCAGCACGGCCCUUACGUCCGGGGCUACACACGUGUUACAAUGGGGGGGGUACAGAAGGCAGCUACCUGGUGACAGGAUGCUAAUCCCAAAAGCCUCUCUCAGUUCGGAUCGAAGUCUGCAACCCGACUUCGUGAAGCUGGAUUCGCUAGUAAUCGCGCAUCAGCCAUGGCGCGGUGAAUACGUUCCCGGGCCUUGUACACACCGCCCGUCAAGCCAUGAAAGCCGGGGGUACCUGAAGUACGUAACCGCAAGGAGCGUCCUAGGGUAAAACUGGUAAUUGGGGC